GACGAACGCUGGCGGCGCGCUUAACACAUGCAAGUCGAGCGAGAACCAGUCCUGGACUGGGAAAGCGGCGAACGGGUGAGUAACACGUGGGUAACCCACCCUUGGUACCGGGAUAGCCCGAGGAAACUCGGAUUAAUACCGGAUGGCCCAGCAGCUCGUUUCGGGGCGGUUGGAAAAGGUAGCUUCGGCCUCCGACCAAGGACGGGCCCGCGGCGGAUUAGCUUGGUUGGUGGGGUAAUGGCCUACCAAGGCGACGAGCCGAGCUGGU
rnacentral:rRNA from 1 species